rnacentral:tRNA from 1 species
GCAGAAGUGGCGGAACUGGCAGACGCGCCAGAUUUAGGUUCCAGUGAGGAAACUCGUAGGGGUUCGAUUCCCCUCUUUUGCA